rnacentral:rRNA from 1 species
AAUCAACGCUGGCGGCGUGCCUCAGACAUGCAAGUCGAACGAUUAAAGCUCUCUUCGGAGAGUGUAUAGAGUGGCGCACGGGUGAGUAACACGUAAGUAAUCUACCUUUGAGUGGGGAAUAACAGUCGGAAACGACUGCUAAUACCGCAUAAUGCAGCGGCAUCGCAAGAUGACAGUUGUUAAAGGAGCAAUCCGCUUAAAGAGGAGCUUGCGGCAGAUUAGCUAGUUGGUAAGGUAAUGGCUUACCAAGGCUACGAUCUGUAUCCGGUCUAAGAGGACGGUCGGACACACUGACACUGAAUAAUGGUCAGACUCCUACGGGAGGCAGCAGUCGGGUAAUUUUGGGUCGAAUGGGCGAAAGCCUGACCCAGCAACGCCGCGUGAAGGAUGAAGUAUUU